rnacentral:tRNA from 1 species
GCAUUGGUGGUUCAGUGGUAGAAUUCUCACCUUCCAAGUGGAAGAAGCACGUUCAAUUCAGGGCCAACGCA